UGCAGAAUCCCGUGAACCAUCGAGUUUUUGAACGCAAGUUGCGCCCGAAGCCAUUAGGCUAAGGGCACGUCUGCCUGGGCGUCA
rnacentral:rRNA from 1 species